UAGUUCCACUAUCUUGAGAGAAGGGGAAAGAUGACAGGGAUGGUAGUCGGGGGAAAGGAGCUUAUUAAUGAAGAUUCUUGGGCACAAAUCUUGGGAAGGAUGCCCGUGUGGUGUAACUGCUCCCCACAAAGUGAUAGAGAAGGUAGCACUGUGCCUGCUUGCGGGAGGGCAGCAUUUGAGGCAAGGUUCAUGAUGGGAGACUGGACUCUUUUUUUUUGAUACAGGGUUUCCCUGUGUACCCCUGACUGUCCUGAAACUCACUCUGUAGGCCUCGAACUCAGAAGUCCUGAUUUCUGUUUCUGCCUCUUGAGUGCUGGGAUUAAAGGCGUGCACCACCACUGCCCAACUGGGAACCUGGACUCUUAAAAGACAACACAGACCAGGGCAUUGGUGAGGAUGGACAUCUUCAGAUGCAAGAAAACCAUGUCCAGGUCCUCAGUUCAGUGCAUCGAACAAUGAAAUGCCAGAGCAGGAAAGCUGGGAAGAGAAUCUUCAGUUUUCCACCUUUCUCUGCAUCCGGGUUGUGCUCCAGUUAGGAGUCUCCCCUGCAAACUGCACCCCCAAUAGGCCGUGCCUGAUCUGCUUCUUCAGUGUGAGUUCCCUCUGAGCCUGACAUUACCGUGACCACACUGAAGAGGUCUGGUUCUGACACUCCAGCAAGGUCCUCACAGUGUGUAGAGGAUCCGGAACAAGAAAUACCAAGCUAGCACGCGGUCUGGAUUUCUCAGAUGUCACAUGAAGAAACACGUGCCCACCCGAGAAAAAUAUGGAAGCUCUCUGUCCAAGAUGGAGCCUGGGGAAGCCUUGAACAACUCACUGCUGCCUCCCCACCUCCUUCUCUGGAGAGAAGAGGGAAGGAUGGGUGUCUAAGGGACUGACGAUUGGACAUAGCUGGUCCUAGCUCCAGUUCCUCCAAGCUACCCUUGGCCUGCCCUGCACCUGCCCUCCUACCUAGAUGGGGCUCUGCCAGGCGGUGCAGAACUUGGCCCCAGGCUCGUUGGGUUCUGAGCUGAUCCUGCACCCCUAGUACAUCUCAGCCAAGGGCUGAGUCACACCCUCAUUCUCUUUUAAUUAUUCAGGACCUGACACACUGCCUGGGAAUACAUCACUCAGAGUACAUGGUGGUGAAGAUUAAAUAUUAGAGGCAAGUCUUUUAAUUAAUUUUUAAUGUGUUCUUUAGAACAAUUCUUCAUACCUAACCACACGCUGAAACAGAGUACUUAAAAGAAAAAUUAAUGUUCAGGGUCUCAGGGGUUUGUGAGAUAGCCCUUAUUUUUUUGGUUACCUCUAAGUUCCACGUCAGAGGGUACCAUUUGUGGCUUGGAAACAAGAUGACAGGUAUCCCAUCUGGGACUGUCCCCGUGUAUAUAUGGUUGCUGCAAUGUAUGUAUUCAUUCCUCAGAGGUUCAGCUUGCGUCGUAAAGCAUUUGCUCACCCUACAUCAAAACAGUCGCUCUCCUUUCCUAGCAGACAUAACUAGUUGAUUACAGCACCUUUUCCAUGCUGAUUCCACACACGUCUUUUCAAAGUGUUCUCUAUAUAACCUUCCAAGCAGCCCACUCUGGACAGCCACCUCAUGUGGUUAAAACAGUUUUGAGAUGAGCCAUGCUUUUUUCUUGAGAAGGAAGCUUAUAUCUCACACACACAC